GUUACGACAACACAUUUGAACACAUAAUUUUAUUCUAUUGAUGUGUGUUGUCAGUUGGUGCUGUCCCUGGAUGUAGUGGUUAUCUACAAGUAGUAUUUAACUUUUAGAUGUCAGGGUUAAAAGUCCCUGAAGGUUUGGAAGGAAGAGUCUCUAUCGAAUGCAGGCGGUUGGAACUCUUGGGACGCAAAUUGAUCACAUCAAAUAUCUAGGAUCAAUGCUACCUAAAGUUGGCGGCCUCUUGUUACGGACUCCACAAAUGUUAUGGCCUUCAUCAGUGCUAAAGGGCUGUAUUCUGCUCAGUGUUAGAUCAACUGCUUGAUCCUACCCUGCUGGAGAAGAUAUACAUGCCUCAAUAGCAGUACAUACAUACAUACUUUAUUUAUUGGCUCAUCCCCAAGGGGCUUUUCAGAGUCAAAUCUACAUUACACGAAUAAAACCUAAGUACAUAAAAGGAUAAAACAUAAAAAUUAACUAAAGCCUUCAUUAAGGAGCUUAUGCCUGAGCAAACAGUUGAAAGCAGUCACAGAUGGACUAAGUUUGAGCACAGGUGGCAGCUCAUUCCACAAAGCGGUCACUCUAUAUUGAAAUCUCCUUUGGCCACUAGCUGUGCGGAAGAGUGGAAUGUCCAAUCGUUGAGAAUUUCUUGUAUUCUUUGUCGAUACGGUGGAACUUCUGACAAACUUAGAUGUCAAAUACUCCGGAGCGCAUCUCAUCAUACACUUAAAAACCAGAACGGCAAAACGAAAAUAAAGUUGUUGUCUG